rnacentral:lncRNA from 1 species
GCUCUGACCCCUGCUUGGUUCCCAGGCACUGGGCACACUGCCUCCUGGGGCUGGGGACUGAGAGGAGCCCUGGGGUGUGCAGGGCCCCACCUGGGAAGCAGAGAGCGUGGAGGUGUCACAGGCUGCAGGCGACAGCAGCUCGCAGUGUCUGGGGCAGACAAUGGGCACUGUGUGUGGGGUCAGGGUGGGGCGGGCAGUGUGGCACCUGGGCAGGAAUGUGCCUGGCCUGUCUGGGAAUGUGAAGAUGUCUUUGCCUGUUGCCCCCAAGACCUUUACCCCACGGAUGCCCAGGCCCUGGGCAGUGGGCUCAGCCUAUGGGCAGCACUGGUCCAUGAGAGACGGGAGUAGGGGGCCUUUCCCUUGCUCCCCACACACCCCAAGCUCCUGGGGCCCUGUCCGAGCUCUGCGUACUCCUGGCCCCUAA